CUUCUCAAAGGUCUUUAUAUUUUCAAAACCUCUGGGAUUUUGUGAUAUAAUUAUCUACUAUGGUGAAAUGCUAAGUUCACCAUAGUAGAUAAUUAUAUCACAAAAUCC